UGCAGUCGAGCGAACAGACGAGGAGCUUGCUCCUCUGACGUUAGCGGCGGACGGGUGAGUAACACGUGGAUAACCUACCUAUAAGACUGGGAUAACUUCGGGAAACCGGAGCUAAUACCGGAUAAUAUAUUGAACCGCAUGGUUCAAUAGUGAAAGACGGUUUUGCUGUCACUUAUAGAUGGAUCCGCGCCGCAUUAGCUAGUUGGUAAGGUAACGGCUUACCAAGGCAACGAUGCGUAGCCGACCUGAGAGGGUGAUCGGCCACACUGGAACUGAGACACGGUCCAGACUCCUACGGGAGGCAGCAGUAGGGAAUCUUCCGCAAUGGGCGAAAGCCUGACGGAGCAACGCCGCGUGAGUGAUGAAGGUCUUCGGAUCGUAAAACUCUGUUAUUAGGGAAGAACAAAUGUGUAAGUAACUAUGCACGUCUUGACGGUACCUAAUCAGAAAGCCACGGCUAACUACGUGCCAGCAGCCGCGGUAAUACGUAGGUGGCAAGCGUUAUCCGGAAUUAUUGGGCGUAAAGCGCGCGUAGGCGGUUUUUUAAGUCUGAUGUGAAAGCCCACGGCUCAACCGUGGAGGGUCAUUGGAAACUGGAAAACUUGAGUGCAGAAGAGGAAAGUGGAAUUCCAUGUGUAGCGGUGAAAUGCGCAGAGAUAUGGAGGAACACCAGUGGCGAAGGCGACUUUCUGGUCUGUAACUGACGCUGAUGUGCGAAAGCGUGGGGAUCAAACAGGAUUAGAUACCCUGGUAGUCCACGCCGUAAACGAUGAGUGCUAAGUGUUAGGGGGUUUCCGCCCCUUAGUGCUGCAGCUAACGCAUUAAGCACUCCGCCUGGGGAGUACGACCGCAAGGUUGAAACUCAAAGGGAAUUGACGGGGACCCGCACAAGCGGUGGAGCAUGUGGUUUAAUUCGAAGCAACGCGAAGAACCUUACCAAAUCUUGACAUCCUCUGACCCCUCUAGAGAUAGAGUUUUCCCCUUCGGGGGACAGAGUGACAGGUGGUGCAUGGUUGUCGUCAGCUCGUGUCGUGAGAUGUUGGGUUAAGUCCCGCAACGAGCGCAACCCUUAAGCUUAGUUGCCAUCAUUAAGUUGGGCACUCUAAGUUGACUGCCGGUGACAAACCGGAGGAAGGUGGGGAUGACGUCAAAUCAUCAUGCCCCUUAUGAUUUGGGCUACACACGUGCUACAAUGGACAAUACAAAGGGUAGCGAAACCGCGAGGUCAAGCAAAUCCCAUAAAGUUGUUCUCAGUUCGGAUUGUAGUCUGCAACUCGACUAUAUGAAGCUGGAAUCGCUAGUAAUCGUAGAUCAGC
rnacentral:rRNA from 1 species